rnacentral:rRNA from 1 species
UACGGAGGGGGCGAGCGUUAUUCGGAAUUAUUGGGCGUAAAGGGCGCGUAGGCGGCUCGAUAAGUCAAAGGUGAAAUCCCUCGGCUCAACUGAGGAACUGCCUUUGAAACUGUCGAGCUCGAGUCCGGGAGGGGGUAGCGGAAUUCCCAGUGUAGCGGUGAAAUGCGUAGAUAUUGGGAGGAACACCAGUGGCGAAAGCGGCUGCCUGGACCGGAACUGACGCUGAUGCGCGAAAGCGUGGGUAGCAAACAGG